UUUUUUAAAAAUAUAUAGUCCACAUGAUCUGUGAUAGAUCCUCCCUUCCCCCAACUGGUGGGCAGAGUAUGACAUAACCUGCAGCCUGGAAAUACCUGAGUACCUAACCA